rnacentral:sRNA from 1 species
GUCUCCCAUCCAAGAACUAACCAGGCCUAACUGUUUAGCUUCCAAGAUCAGAUGAGAUGGGGCG